ACAAGAGGCAAAGCCAAAGAAAGAGGUUUUUAUUCCUAACAGGCCAAUAGAACAGGCGCCGAAAGCAACUGGA
rnacentral:tRNA from 1 species